rnacentral:rRNA from 1 species
CACGUAGGGGGCGAGCGUUGUCCGGAAUCAUUGGGCGUAAAGAGCUCGUAGGCGGCCAACUAAGUCGGAUGUGAAAUCCCCAGGCUCAACCUGGGAACUGCAUCCGAUACUGGAUGGCUUGAAUUCGGGAGAGGGAUGCAGAAUUCCAGGUGUAGCGGUGAAAUGCGUAGAUAUCUGGAGGAAUACCGGUGGCGAAGGCGGCAUCCUGGACCGACAUUGACGCUGAGGAGCGAAAGCCAGGGGAGCAAACGGG